rnacentral:lncRNA from 1 species
AGAGAGUCCACAGGACUAUGAGGGGCAGAGACCCAGUUAGCCAAUCAUAUUCCUAUCAAUAGGACCUUUGGUCCACUUGUCAAUAUGAGGAUAGCUAUAGUUUGAAAUAAAUAUUCAAGUGUUGCAAAGGCAAAUUACUUGUAUAAGAAAUAUUCUUUGAGACUUGAAAAUUGACAUCUUCUCAUUCAAGAUUAAUGGCACUUAGAUUAGAAAGUAAAUAUGACUCAUUUUAUUAAUCUCAUCAGAUUGAAAUCUCCUUAAGAAAGAGGGCAUGCUUGCUCAUGGCUUCAACCUCGUUGUCUUACACAUGCCUGACACAGAACCCAAGCUCAAUAAAAAUUCAGUGAAAUAAUAAAUCCGUUUUGCUACCAAUUCACCACCUAGGAAAAAAACUGGCAAGUGAAAGGAAAUUUAAAAGCUGUAGCAAAUUUAUUUGCAAGAUUAGAAAAAGGCUGUUCUGAAGACAAUAGAAAAUUUUAAGUGCCAAGUAAGAAGAAACCCAUACCGUCAUCCACUAUAAAUCCACAUCUGUUGUUUAUUUCUAUUGAUAGUUAUUUUCCCCAAGUUUAGAGGUAUUACUAAUGAAAAGAAAGAACUGAAAUGCUGACUGCUAAGACUUCAAAAAGUUGAGGGAGUUACUUUGCCUUAGUUCUUUAAGUUAAUGAAAUCUUGUUCAAACCCAUCCACCAACCCUUCAUUCAAAUGUCACUUUCCUGAUUGCUUUUGUUAUGUGCCACUGAGUCAUAGAGAUUUCACGGCUGACUCAUGUAGUGGCAAGGCAAUAAAUCAUAACCACCAAAUAACGCUAGAGAAAUUACAAAUGAUAGACGGCAUUUCAGAGGACUGCCUGUGGGAAACCAGAAAAUUAAAACUGAAGUUGAGAAGUAGAAAUCUGAAGAGAAAGCAAGAACAAUCCAACAUUCAGACCUUCGGUGAGGAACACUUAAUUGCUGCCACUUUUUAAGGAAUGCUUCCCAUAUUUUCUUCAGCAGAGUGGAAAAAACAAAAUAAAGUAUAAAUACUUUAUGUAAUACUUUAUAUAAAUACUUUAUAAUACUUUAAGUAAUACUUUAUAUACAAUAAAGUAUAAAUACUUUAUAUACAAUAAACUAUAAAUACUUUAUACAUAAAUC